ensembl:misc_RNA 7SK 7SK RNA
GCAUGUGAGGGCAAAGUGGCUACAACAUGUCACCCCAUUGAUCUCCUGGGUUGAUUUGGCUAAUGUGGCUGGCUAGGAGGUGUCCCCUUCCUCCCUCACCACUCCAUGUGUGUCCCUGUUGAAGCCACAUGCUUGUUCAAAAAGGACAGCCUUUCUGAAUAGAGACAGACAUGUCUUCGGUUGAGGGUAUAUGGGGAGCUGUGCUUCCCUGCUAGAACUUUUGAACAAGCUCUCAAGAAGCCUUAUAUGAAAGCUAAGGCACUAAUUAGAAAUGACUGGAAGACUAGGAAUUGUAGUAGGGCUAUGGGGAAACAUUGAGAAUAUUCUAACUAACUCCUACGUCU